UCUGUCUUUCUCCAUACAGCUGAUACCUAUGUGGUUGCCAAUGAUUCAGUCAAAUAUCAAGCACUUGUCUGCGGGCCUCCAGCUUCGCCUCCAGGCCAUUCAGAACAACGUGAACCACCACAGCCUAAGGACGCCACCGGGCUCAGGCUCGGGCCAGAGCAGUGCCGGCCUGGUGGCCCUCCGCAAGUGGCUGCAGUGCACCCAGUUCAAAAUGGCCCAGGUGGAGAUCCAGUCCUCAGAAGCAGCCUCUCAAUUUUAUCCUCUAUGAGCGGACUCCUCGGCUCUCAGUGUCAACACUCUGGUUUAGCAAUAAUGGGUUUAAAAACAAAACAAUUUGAUCCAAGCAGUUGGGGAACAUAUUGGUACUGUACAUUCUCUUUCUAGUUUAGUAAAAGACGUGCAAAGGCCAGAGAGGGCCACAAACGAAGCUUUCUUGCUACACACAUUUCUGAUGACUCCUUGGGCUAUCUGAUUAAGUGUUUCCUUACAUUAUUUUUUAAAAACCAAAUCAUUUUUCUUUAACUAACUUCUAUUUUUUUUAAGAAAAAAAAAAUAGACUGGUGGGUACUCACAGAAAAGUUGUAUAAGUCCCCCUGUUGCUAUUUUUGAUGAUAGAGAAUAAAUAGGGUUUUUGAAACCUUUGUAGUGUUUUUUCUUAAAAUCCACUCUUGGCAAUGCAAUAAAAAACCCGUCACCAUAAGGCAGUGACACCUGACUGGAGCUUUUUGUCAUUACCCUGGGAAAAGUGGCAGCUUGCAAGGAACAUUACAAAGUGCACUUAGAAAUUAGGUGGUUAAACUGUGCCAACUGUUUCCUUUGUUUUAUAAUAUCAUUUUCCAAAACUGUCCAGUAAGUCUUAUUAUUUUUAAAACUAGUUUUUCAACUCAUGAGUUCUAGGCUGUACUUUCUUGUAAGCUUUAUGAUAACCACUUUAGUUUUGUGAAUAAUAAAUUUUAUUCUUUUGUUAAUACUUGUAUACAACUCAAUUUAAAACUGUAGAUUGCAUACUGGACCAGGCGAGUCCCCGCGCUGGCACAGAGCACUGCACCUGGAGUUAUGUUUCAUACAACGGAAUUUUAAUAGUGUGAGAGCACCAAGAUUUAUCAGCACUUAUACGUAGCAUUUGACUGUGCAUUCCAAAUGAAAUUUCUUUUCUUUAUCCCUGUAAUGCACUGACUAAAAGAAGACUUAAUACACAUUUAAGCUGUAUAUUGACAUGCUAUUAAAUGCAUUUUUUUUUAU